GGCCUCGUAGCUCAGUUGGCUAGAGUAUUGGUUGUACUAAAGCCUUCCCCUUGCUGGCUUGGGUUCGAAUCCUACCGAGGCCA
rnacentral:tRNA from 1 species